rnacentral:sRNA from 1 species
AAAUCCUGGAACUGUGCUUUUUACUGACUUCCUGCUUCCCAGAUUGGGGGUGGGGAGUCUUUCCAACUCUGAGGUCUUCCCAAGUUCACUCCUUCUGCAGGUGAAGAUAGUCCCACUUAGGAUCCUUACCUGACACUGUCAUUUAACGCUCUCAGGGGUGAGGUUCUGGCACCCUGUACUUGGAAUCUCACAACCGUCCUUAUCCAAACAAAAUACCUGUUACCUUACUUCAGAGGCUGGCAUUCUUUCAAACAUUCUUCUUUCUCAUUUUUAGCCUCCUUCUGAAGAAAUAAAAACAGGUGAGGAUGAAGAUGAGGAAGAUAAUGAUGCUUUACUGAAGGAAAAUGAAAGUCCUGAUGUUCGGCGAGACAAACCUGUAACAGGAGAACAAAUAGAGGUAUUUGCCAACAAGCUGGGUGAACAAUGGAAGAUUCUGGCUCCCUACUUGGAAAUGAAAGACUCAGAAAUUAGGCAGAUUGAGUGUGACAGUGAAGACAUGAAGAUGAGAGCUAAGCAGCUUCUGGUUGCCUGGCAAGAUCAAGAGGGAGUUCAUGCAACACCUGAGAAUCUGAUUAAUGCACUGAAUAAGUCUGGAUUAAGUGACCUUGCAGAAAGUCUAACUAAUGACAAUGAGACAAAUAGUUAGCUUCUUUUUUUUUCUUUUUAUUAAAACUGUGAUAGAUUUUGUUACCAAGCAGCAUUUGAUAAGAGGUCCACUGGUUUUGGUAAACAAUAAACAUUUUUAUAACA